GCCACGACGAAAACCUCCUGCGUGUUCCUGAGAAACCCCAUGAUCUUGUUGCAGAGCCACCUUCAGAAACAAGAUCAACAGUUUUUGAGAGGGGCGGCAUUGUUCGGAGGAGGCAUCGUCGUGGUCGUAGGAAUAUCUCAGAUCGGAGUAGCCUCUGUUCGUAGAGAGAAAUCUCUCUUUCAUGCUCUGUUUGAACGAACCGUCGAACAUGCUUCGCCUGAACGAUCCCAGCUUCGGCGCCGCCAUUUCCGAUGAUCGAAUCGAACCGGAGACAAGAGAGAUAUGUGGGAUUCGUCUUUUGCUGUCGCGGAGGAGUGAGAAAUGGGGAACAACGAGGAGAGAGAUUUACUACCGCGACAUUGUCUGCAUGGUUCAAGAACGAAAUUGCGUGUCGAAACGUGGACGGAGACAAGACAGGAAGAGGGAUGGAUCCUGUGAGUGCAUGGGAACCCAAUUCCCCAAAAAUUUAACGUUUUUAUUUCAGAUUUCGUUAGAUUUGGAGUUUAAUUAGUCUCAUCAAAUCCAUUUGCACAAAGCAUGUGUGUUUUUGCUGUGCACGUCUUGGACCACGUUUUUACACAGACAAUAUUCAUUAAAUUAAAUUAAAUUAAUUGAGUGGUUGAUUGUA